GAACAUAUCUGAGAGUAACUGUUCAGGUAUUGACGGUAUUUAACCUAGAAAGCCACGGCUAACUACGUGCCAGCAGCCGCGGUAAUACGUAGGUGGCAAGCGUUGUCCGGAUUAUUGGGCGUAAAGCGAGCGCAGGCGGUUUUAAGGUUCUUGAUGUGAAAGACCUUCGGCUCAACCGAAGAAGUGCAUCGGAAACUAGGGAAACGUUAGAGUGCAGAAGAGGACAGUGGAACUCCAUGUGUAGCGGUGAAAUGCGUAGAUAUAUGGAAGAACACCAGUGGCGAAGGCGGCUGUCUGGUCUGUAACUGACGCUGAGGCUCGAAGGUAUGGGUAGCAAACAGGAUUAGAUACCCUGGUAG
rnacentral:rRNA from 1 species